rnacentral:rRNA from 1 species
UACGUAGGCAGCAAGCGUUGUUCGGAGUUACUGGGCGUAAAGGGUGUGUAGGCGGUUCCUUAAGUUUGCUGUGAAAUCUCCCGGCUUAACCGGGAGGGUGCGGUGAAUACUGAGGGACUAGAGUACGGGAGAGGAAAGUGGAAUUCCUGGUGUAGCGGUGAAAUGCGUAGAUAUCAGGAGGAACACCGAUGGCGAAGGCAGGUCUCUGGGCUGACACUGACGCUCAUGCACGAAAGCGUGGGGAGCAAACAGG